rnacentral:lncRNA from 1 species
UGAAAUGUGGCUAGUAUGACUGAGGAACUGAAUCUUUCCUUUCAUUUUAAUUAAUUUAAAUUUAAAUGGCCACACGUGGCUAGUGGCUACCAUAUUGGACAGCACGGCUCUAGAUGCAUUUCAUGUUAUUCCCAUGAGAUUCCCAAAUAAACUUCCUGCAUGCAAAUCUCCAUCUCAGCAUCUGUUUCCCUGAGGAGGAACCAGCCUAAGAUGAAUUGCAAAUUAAAAUCUCAAGUGAGUCAAAACAACCAGAAUUUCCCUUCCCAAGGGGGACCAGCCCCAUACCCAUGAGGAAAAGAUGCUACACAGAGAAGCCAAGAAGAAUCUGCAUGGAUAGGCCUUACUGGGUUCCUCACCUGAGUGUAUCACCAUUAAUUAGAUGAUACCUCUUUGUCCAAUCACAUUUCUACAUGGCUGUCCCCAGUCUAAGGACAAAAACAGACAGUUUCCCCUUGAGUCUUUGAGUCUUCAUUUUUGAAGGCUUCCA